GGAAGAGAACAAUGACCGAGACAGACAUUCUACCCUGAUUAUCCUACCCAUUCCUUCUCCAGAGAGCCGGGGCUACAAUAAUUCACCAUCAUAUUCAACCUUCCAGCUCGUGAUCUGCGAUGCAGCGAGGACUUUGUAAACACCGCGCGCCGGUGGGGGUGGACACUCGCUCUGUUUGGGUGCCCGGGAAAUGGAGUGCACGCCCCUGGCCUGUCUGUGGCUGGCGGUUGUGAUCACCCUUACUGGCCCAAAACAGAUGGAUGUCCCGCAGCGGGAGAGAACGAGAGGCCACCAUCAAAGCUCGGGGAGUUCAUCUGCCAAGAGGUAGGCUUGGGGCUGGAGAAGCCAGAAUACAUGUGAUGAUGUCCGUAUUGCCGGCUUUGCCUAGGAUGUUACUAAGAUGUUCAGGCUGGAGAUCUGGAAGUGGACACAGCAGGUGUGUGUGGGUUCAGUGGAUCACCUCGUCCCUCUCACCUCAGUUUUUGCAGCAAACGCUUAGCUUACUUUCCUACUGUGUAUGAUAUAUUGACCAGAGCUAAGGGUCAGAGAAGCCCCCAGAGGUCCCCAAGUCCGCAAAACGUGCGUAGGUCCUCCGCACAGCCUUCCUCCAGGCUCAUGUGCAAGCCCAAGGGGUUUAGCUACAAAUAUCAGCUUUAGGGGUUGGAGGGCAAACCAGCUUGGCUUAGGGAGGCAGUGGCAUUUGAGUCUGCUAGAGCCAAGGAGGGAGGUCAAAGGAUAGAACUUUCCUGAAGGUCUUGAGAGGGUAUCAAGAAGCAGCAUUCAUUUGCACCAGCUGAGCACCUACUGUGUGCUCGGUAUUGUUUCAGAUGCCGGAAUUUGCUGCCCACUUACUCACCCAUAGCUGGUGUCUGUAUGAGGGGCCACGCAGAUGAAGGGCUAGCCUCUGGCUGGGAAGGAGAUGUCUGGGGUGGCUUCCGGGUAUUAGAUUGAGAGUCUUAGGGGAAUUAUUUCCCCUAGAGGCAAACUGAAUUGCCUCUAGGCAAUUAUUGGGCACUGGGAUAGACUGGUAAACCGGAAACAGUUCCCUCUUGUUGCACUCACUUCCCAGCAUAAGGAAGUAGGAACAGGAAGCAGUUCUGGGAAAGACAAGCUGGAUCCCCUGAACUCCCAGUUGGAUGCGGCUGAAACUGGGCCCUCCUCACCAUACCAGACACCCGCUCCCCGUCCUGGACCCUGGAAUUGUUUUCUUCAACAAGCCUUGUCUCAUGGCUGUCACCACUGUAUCCUCUGGGACUAGUCCCCAGGGGUAGAAGAGGUUCUUCUGCCAUUUUUUUUUUUUCUGGCACUCCCUAUACCCAGGGGUUCUCAUGCCCUCUUCUGGUCUCUGCAGGUACCAGACACGAGCAUGGUGCAUACACAUAACAAAAUAAAUAGCCUCUCUCUC
rnacentral:sRNA from 1 species